rnacentral:rRNA from 1 species
CCACAAUGGACGAAAGUCUGAUGGAGCGACGCCGCGUGCGGGAUGAAGGCCUUAUGGGUUGUAAACCGCUGUCAGGGGGAAGAACAUCGGAAUGAACAAUACUCAUUCCGACUGACGUUACCCCCAGAGGAAGCUCCGGCCAACUCCGUGCCAGCAGCCGCGGUAAUACGGGCGGCCCGAGUGGUGGCCGCUAUUAUUGGGCCUAAAGCGUCCGUAGCCGGGCCCGUAAGUCCCUGGCGAAAUCCCACGGCUCAACCGUGGGGCUUGCUGGGGAUACUGCGGGUCUUGGGACCGGGAGAGGCGGGGGGUACCCCUGGGUAGGGGUGAAAUCCUAUAAUCCCAGGGGGACCGCCAGUGGCGAAGGCGCCCCGCUGGAACGGGUCCGACGGU